CAUUACCUUUAAAUCUCCUGGAUCUCCACCAUCAGAGAGAGUGGACCAGCACAGCUCAGAGGUUCCCAGUGGUCCGUCUGCCCAGAAGCAUCAAACACAGCUGGACUCCAUAUUUAUGCUGCUGGAGGAAAACAUUGUCACUUUUGUGAAGAACGAG